rnacentral:rRNA from 1 species
GAUGAACGCUGGCGGCGUGCCUAAUACAUGCAAGUCGAGCGAACGGACGAGAAGCUUUCUUCUCUGAUGUUAGCGGCUGACGGGUGAGUAACACGUGGAUAACCUACCUAUAUGACUUGGAUAACUUCGGGAAACCGGAUCUAAUACCGGAUAAUAUUUUGAACCGCAUGGUUCAAAAGUGAAAGACGGUCUUGCUGUCACUUAUAGAUGGUUCCGCGCUGCAUUAGCUAGUUGGUAAGGUAACGGCUUACCAAGGCAACGAUGCAUAGCCGACCUGAGAGGAUGAUCGGCCACACUGGAACUGAGACACGGUCCAGACUCCUACGGGAGGCAGCAGUAGGGAAUCUUCCGCAAUGGGCGAAAGCCUGACGGAGCAACGCCGCGUGAGUGAUGAAGGUCUUCGGAUCGUAAAACUCUGUUAUUAGGGAAGAACAUAUGUGGAAGUAAAUGUGCACAUCUUGACGGUACCUAAUCAGAAAGCCACGGCUAACUACGUG